rnacentral:rRNA from 1 species
GACGAACGCUGGCGGCAUGCCUAAUACAUGCAAGUCGAGCGAACAGAUGAAGUGCUUGCACUUCUGACGUUAGCGGCGAACGGGUGAGUAACACGUAAGGAAUCUACCUAUAAGCGGGGGAUAACAUUCGGAAACGGGUGCUAAUACCGCAUAAUAUCUUCUUCCGCAUGGAAGAAGAUUGAAAGACGGCUCUGCUGUCACUUAUAGAUGACCUUGCGGUGCAUUAGUUAGUUGGUGGGGUAACGGCCUACCAAGACGAGGAUUCAUAGCCGACCUGAGAGGGUGGUCGGCCACAUUGGGACUGAGACACGGCCCAAACUCCUACGGGAGGCAGCAGUAGGGAAUCUUCCGCAAUGGGCGAAAGCCUGACGGAGCAAUGCCGCGUGAGUGAAGAAGGCCUUCGGGUCGUAAAACUCUGUUAUAAGAGAAGAACAAAUUGUAGAGUAACUGCUACAGUCUUGACGGUAUCUUAUCAGAAAGCCACGGCUAACUACGUGCCAGCCGCCGCCGUAA